rnacentral:misc_RNA from 1 species
AUUGGUCGCCUGUUUUACUGUACCGGUAACGGUAGCUACCAGAACUACCAGUGUAUGGGCGAUGUUUGCCGGUGCACGGACGCUGAUGGAAACGUGGUCGCUAACUCUCACUCUGUCAGCAUCGGACAGAUUGAUACCCUCAAAUGUUAAACGUACUCGAGGGGAUCAGCAACAACUGAGCGAAAUCCAUUUGUUAUAAACCGUUUCUGAUU